UCAAGUGGGAUUGAUUUGGAGAGCAUGGGUAUAGUAUAACGUGAUGCUUUGUUGGCAUUUCGCACUCUUUGCAAGAUGGGUAUAAAGGAAGAUAAUGAUAAAGUUACAACCAAGACAAGGAUAUUAUCUCUUGAGCUUCUGCAGGGUUUGUUGGAGGGAGUUAGCCACUCAUUUACAAAGAAUUUUCAUUUAAUUGAUUCGGUGAAGGCAUAUCUUUCAUAUGCAUUAUUGUGAGCUUCAGUUUCACAAUUUCCUGUCAUAUUUCAGUAUGCAACUGGAAUAUUCUUGGUGCUGUUGUUA